rnacentral:tRNA from 2 species
GGGAGUUUGGCCGAGUGGUUAAGGCGUCAGAUCCAGGUUCUGUUAGAAAACACGACAUUCUGAUAUCUACGGAUGCAAGGGUUCGAACCCCUUAGCUCUCA